AGCCGUGUAGUCAAUUAUGAUUUUAAAUUGCAAGUUUAAAGGUGUGUCCUGUACUCCAAGGCUU
rnacentral:tRNA from 1 species